rnacentral:ncRNA from 8 species
UAAUACUGUCAGGUAAAGAUG